rnacentral:rRNA from 1 species
GAUGAACGCUAGCUACAGGCUUAACACAUGCAAGUCGAGGGACCGGCGCACGGGUGAGUAACACGUAUCCAACCUGCCCUUUACUCGGGGCUAGCCUUUCGAAAGAAAGAUUAAUACCCGAUAUAAAGGAUGGGGAUGCGUUCCAUUAGGUUGUUGGUGAGGGAACGGCUCACCAAGCCUUCGAUGGAUAGGGGUUCUGAGAGGAAGGUCCCCCAAAUUGGAACUGAGACACAGUCCAAACUCGUAGUGGAGGCAACAGUGAGGAACAUUAGGCAAUGGGGGCUAACCUGAACCAGCCAAGUGGCGGGAAGGGUUAAGGGUUAUGGGUCGUAAACUACUUUUAUAUAAGAAUAUGUAUUAUAUGAAUAAGGAUCGGCUAACUCCGUGCCAGCAGCCGCGGUAAUAC